GUGGCGCGCCGUCCAUGGCGCCGCUGAACUUCUUGUAGGUCUCCUCGAUGGGGCUCAGGAUGUCGGACACGGAGAAGGGCGUCGUGUGCUUUGGGCUCAACGACAUGGCUCGGCGGGCAGCCAGGUUACGACAGACUCGGGGGGCGGAGCAACAUCCCAAACGAGCAAACAAUGGUCAUUGACAUCUUUUUCUCUCGCCCCCCCAACCCCCGCCCCAUAAUGGAGGCAAAAAAAGGUCGAGGCUAGACAUGGACUCCGCGCCUGGCCCCUUCCAGAUCCCAGUUUUCUAAAGUGACUUCGCACCAAAGUCCGGGCUCCCUAAUUUAUGCGUUUUUAGACCCUUAAGCAUCAUUUUGUGGGCAACCAAACGGGCACUUCCAAAUUAGCUCAAAGUAUCCAAGCCCAGAGAAGAGAGAAAACACACAUACACUGAUAAAUACGCAGAUGCUAACUUGAAAUAUCUCUGACUUAAGUUUAUUCUCCCAUCACUACCGUGAUCAAAAAGAAGAGAAAGACAAAAUAUCAAAACUUCCAAAUAUUUCUAGUUGUUCGCAACGGGUCUUUUUGUUGUUGUUGGAAAAAUAUAACCUGUUCAAGCGAUAUGAAAAUGGAUGCAGAAAUCAGGAGAAAAGGGUGUGUGGAAUCGAUUUAAGUUUAACCUGACAGUACAUGUCUUGAAGGCGGUCUUUUAUGAACUUGAAACACAUCGGCUAGGUCUUCAUCCUCACCUGCACUGGAAUUACCUACUUAAGAAAAACAAACUAAUGAUACACAAAGAAGCACUUAUGAAUUACAUAUCUUCAUGCCGGAAACACUAUUUGGAUGCGUGUGGAUGAUUCUGAAAAUUGAUAUAGUCUGAAGGAUGUAUAUGUACAUUUAUAUAUAGACACAAUAUAACCCAAUUGAUAUUCCAUUGAAGCUUUGUAUUCAUUUCAUCAGAUUAUCGUGUACCUAAAUUAUGUGUGGAAAUUUAUACUUAGUAGAUUCUCAAAUAUUAUUGGCUAAACUGCAUUUCACAGGAAAUGUAUUUCUCAGGAGUGUUUUCUCAUUGUUUUCCUUAAAAAACAAUGCUGGCACCCAGCAAAAUAAUAAAAUUAAAAAAUAAAAUAAAAUGCAAAUACUGCCUAAGGGAAU
rnacentral:lncRNA from 1 species